CAAGUUUUGAGCAAUCGCGAUUAACUGAUGUUAGUUGAGGAAAGUCCACGCCCGCACAAACUGAGAUGUUUGUAGUGAUUGUACUCAGCCCAAUAAGCUGGGGGAUUUGUUUAAAUUACGGCGGAAAAAAUGCUAAAUUCUCUAUGAACAUGCAUUAGUAUCCUGAAAGUGCCACAGUGACGGAGCAUUAGAGGAAACUCAAAUGGUGGAACGAGGUAAACCCUGCAAGCGGGCAACCCAAAUUUGGUAGGGGCGUUUCGUCUAAGAAAAUGAACUAAAGACGAAAUCAUUAAUAUGAAGAUAGAUGAUUGCUAAUUGUUAAAAAUACCAUUUUAACAUGAACAGAACGUGGCUUAUAGAAACU
rnacentral:RNase_P_RNA from 10 species